rnacentral:rRNA from 1 species
AUUGAACGCUGGCGGCAUGCUCUACACAUGCAAGUCGAACGGUAACAGGCCGCAAGGUGCUGACGAGUGGCGAACGGGUGAGUAAUGCAUCGGAACGUGCCCAGUCGUGGGGGAUAACUACUCGAAAGAGUAGCUAAUACCGCAUACGAUCUAUGGAUGAAAGCGGGGGACCGUAAGGCCUCGCGCGAUUGGAGCGGCCGAUGUCAGAUUAGGUAGUUGGUGGGGUAAAGGCUCACCAAGCCAACGAUCUGUAGCUGGUCUGAGAGGACGACCAGCCACACUGGGACUGAGACACGGCCCAGACUCCUACGGGAGGCAGCAGUGGGGAAUUUUGGACAAUGGGCGCAAGCCUGAUCCAGCAAUUCCGCGUGCAGGAAGAAGGCCUUCGGGUUGUAAACUGCUUUUGUACGGAACGAAACGGCUCUGGUUAAUACCCGGGGCUAAUGACGGUACCGUAAGAAUAAGCACCGGCUAACUACGUG